rnacentral:rRNA from 1 species
CGAAUGCUGACAUAAGUAACGAUAAAGCGGGUGAAAAGCCCGCUCGCCGGAAGACCAAGGGUUCCUGUCCAACGUUAAUCGGGGCAGGGUGAGUCGACCCCUAAGGCGAGGCCGAAAGGCGUAGUCGAUGGGAAACAGGUUAAUAUUCCUGUACUUGGUGUUACUGCGAAGGGGGGACGGAGAAGGCUAUGUUGGCCGGGCGACGGUUGUCCCGGUUUAAGCGUGUAGGCUGGUUUUCCAGGCAAAUCCGGAAAAUCAAGGCUGAGGCGUGAUGACGAGGCACUACGGUGCUGAAGCAACAAAUGCCCUGCUUCCAGGAAAAGCCUCUAAGCAUCAGGUAACAUUAAAUCGUACCCCAAACCGACACAGGUGGUCAGGUAGAGAAUACCAAGGCGCUUGAGAGAACUCGGGUGAAGGAACUAGGCAAAAUGGUGCCGUAACUUCGGGAGAAGGCACGCUGAUAUGUAGGUGAAGUCCCUCGCGGAUGGAGCUGAAAUCAGUCGAAGAUACCAGCUGGCUGCAACUGUUUAUUAAAAACACAGCACUGUGCAAACACGAAAGUGGACGUAUACGGUGUGACGCCUGCCCGGUGCCGGAAGGUUAAUUGAUGGGGUUAGCGGUAACGCGAAGCUCUUGAUCGAAGCCCCGGUAAACGGCGGCCGUAACUAUAACGGUCCUAAGGUAGCGAAAUUCCUUGUCGGGUAAGUUCCGACCUGCACGAAUGGCGUAAUGAUGGCCAGGCUGUCUCCACCCGAGACUCAGUGAAAUUGAACUCGCUGUGAAGAUGCAGUGUACCCGCGGCAAGACGGAAAGACCCCGUGAACCUUUACUAUAGCUUGACACUGAACAUUGAGCCUUGAUGUGUAGGAUAGGUGGGAGGCUUUGAAGUGUGGACGCCAGUCUGCAUGGAGCCGACCUUGAAAUACCACCCUUUAAUGUUUGAUGUUCUAACGUUGACCCGUGAUCCGGGUUGCGGACAGUGUCUGGUGGGUAGUUUGACUGGGGCGGUCUCCUCCUAAAGAGUAACGGAGGAGCACGAAGGUUGGCUAAUCCUGGUCGGACAUCAGGAGGUUAGUGCAAUGGCAUAAGCCAGCUUGACUGCGAGCGUGACGGCGCGAGCAGGUGCGAAAGCAGGUCAUAGUGAUCCGGUGGUUCUGAAUGGAAGGGCCAUCGCUCAACGGAUAAAAGGUACUCCGGGGAUAACAGGCUGAUACCGCCCAAGAGUUCAUAUCGACGGCGGUGUUUGGCACCUCGAUGUCGGCUCAUCACAUCCUGGGGCUGAAGUAGGUCCCAAGGGUAUGGCUGUUCGCCAUUUAAAGUGGUACGCGAGCUGGGUUUAGAACGUCGUGAGACAGUUCGGUCCCUAUCUGCCGUGGGCGCUGGAGAACUGAGGGGGGCUGCUCCUAGUACGAGAGGACCGGAGUGGACGCAUCACUGGUGUUCGGGUUGUCAUGCCAAUGGCACUGCCCGGUAGCUAAAUGCGGAAGAGAUAAGUGCUGAAAGCAUCUAAGCACGAAACUUGCCCCGAGAUGAGUUCUCCCUGACCCUU